AAGCCAACAUCGGGACCCCUGACACUCCGCCCAAAGUCAGAAAGGUGCUGGGACUUCACCUGGCCGGUGACAGGCUAGGUCCCUGCAGUGGCGGGCGCACCUCCCCCAGGGGGUUGGCGGACGAGGAGCAGGAGGGGCUGACACGGAGGAGGAGCAAACGCAGGAGAAUCCAAAAUACUUUUUAAAUCGUACAUUGAGAUUUUAUGAGAAAAUGGACAUUCAUCAAGGAACCCUAAUAGCCAACAUUCUAAAUUUCAAAAGCUAAGACCGGUAUCCUGUGACUUUGAA